GUAGGGUGCGAGCGUUAAUCGGAAUUACUGGGCGUAAAGCGUGCGCAGGCGGUUUUGUAAGACAGGCGUGAAAUCCCCGGGCUCAACCUGGGAAUGGCGCUUGUGACUGCAAGGCUGGAGUGCGGCAGAGGGGGAUGGAAUUCCGCGUGUAGCAGUGAAAUGCGUAGAUAUGCGGAGGAACACCGAUGGCGAAGGCAAUCCCCUGGGCCUGCACUGACGCUCAUGCACGAAAGCGUGGGGAGCAAAC
rnacentral:rRNA from 1 species